UUGGCUCAGUGGUAGAGUACUUGCCUUGCAUGCAUGAGGCCCUGGGUUCAAUACCUCAGA
rnacentral:tRNA from 1 species